GACGAACGCUGGCGGCGUGCUUAACACAUGCAAGUCGAACGGAAAGGCCCUGCUUGUUUGGGGUUCUCGAUGGGCGAACGGGUAAGUAAGACGUGAGUAACCUGCCCUAGACUUUGGGAUAGCUUCAGGUAACUGGGGCUAAUACCGUAUAGGAUCUCCCGUUGCAUGGUGGGGGUUGGAAAUUUUCGGCGGGAGGGGAUGGACUCGCGGCUUAUCGACUUGUUGGUUGGGUAGGUGCUUACCCAGGCAGUGACGGGUAGCCGGCACGAGAGGGUGAACGGCGACAUGACGCCUGAGAUACGGACCAGAGUCGUACAGGGGACAGCAGUGGGGAAUCUUGCACAAUGGGAGGAAGCCUGAUGAAGAAACCCCGCGGGCGGGAUGACGGUCUUCGGGUUGAAAAAAGCAUCAGCCUGUGACGACGCGUGACUGACGGUAAUGGGUAAAGAAGCACCGGCUAACUACGUG
rnacentral:rRNA from 1 species